rnacentral:rRNA from 1 species
AUGGUAGACAGAACCUACUACACCGAUGGCUCUGAGUUAACUUAUCAGGAGAAAAAUCAUCCGGUCGCAUUUUGUACUGAUCUUGAGAAUUACAACGUCAAUUAUCAAACUCCUCCAUAUUAUGGUCAAUAUGUGCCACUAGUGCACGUGUUGAACUAUGCUAACAUCCAUGGAGAUCUCAUGGAGUGUGUGCCUCAUCUGAGGUUUUCGAAAGGUCGCCUUGAUGUUUUGAAUAUACAGCCAAGUCAUCCUACGAAUCACUCCUGUUCAUAUCGGAUUUCUAAAUGCAAUGAAGACAUGACCAUCAAAGAUUGGAACAAAUGUAUGGCCACUCGUAAGGAGGUACUUGGAAGAAACAUUAGGCGAAGUGCAAGAAUUGGAGACAGGAUAAUCUCCAUUCUCCAUAAUGGAGAGUCAGGGUCUAUCUUGUUUCAUGCUACUUUACCUAAGAAAAGGUAG